ACUGAUGAUGAUGCUACUGUUGGGGGUAUUGGCGGAGACCAGGUCAAUCGUACUCCCAAGAUGCCACCGUUUAUUUUUCAAACCCCACUUGCUAGUCAUCAUCUGCGAGUUUAGCCAGCCUGUAGCGAGCACACCACCGCGACUGCUGCUAUCAUUGUAGAUCUUCGGGAACAGCUUGAGGCACGGGAUGCUGAGUUGAAGAGACAUGAUCGAGCCAUGGAGCGGAUGCAACAUGUUAUGCGAGCUGCUGGUCUCUUACCCCCAGAGUAUGAAGAUAAGGAGAACGAGGAGCCACAAGAGGUGUUAGUUGAGAUCCGCUCAGUUACCCAUGAGCGGAGUAGGAAUCCUAUUAGAGAUCGUGAUGAGGGGUGGGGUAGUUCCUUUAAAGCAUUCACGUACCACAAACCCCCUAUCUUGUUAGGAGGUGAUAACCUAGCAUUUUGCAUGCAAUGGUUGUGCAAGAUGAGGCAAAUUUUCCAUUCAUGCGACUUCACUAAGUCACAGAAACUCAGUUAUACAGUAUUGAAGGCUCUUUAGUGGUGGGAGGCGUUGGACUAUGUUGUUCCUAAGGCUACACUUGAUGAUAUGACACUACUGGAAAACAAGGCUAUACAGUACACCCACAUCUAAUACGGUUGUAAAUAAAAACCGUUUUAGAAAGGGCUAAAUAAAUAUAAUACGCCCAAUUACAACAUCUAAUACGGUUAAUGUGCUGUACUAGAAACAAGAUCAAAUACCUAAAUAAAAUAUGCCACAUUUUGGAAUAAAGUACGGCUCAAUACCUAAAUUGAAUACGCUGAAUAAGUACUCAGCUUCCUCAGCUUACAACAUCUAGUACUCAGCUUCCUCCUCCUACACUUCUCCACCCAACCCAACACCUUAACACCACCCUUCCUCCAUCUCUACACCACUAAUCGGUCCUUUAUCUCUAUCUCCCCUGUCGCAACACCAUCAUCACCGGCUAGCCUCGCCUCGCACCUCCAAUAAUUCAACCAACCCACCACCGGACCAUCAUCAUCAUACGGCAAGAGCUUUGAUUUCUGUUUUUGCAACAGACAAACACAGGCAAAAAUACAAAGGAACUACAACUAUUUCACGAUGGAUAAGGGAGCGUCUGUGAUCGAGAUGCAAAAUCAAAUGGUGUAUCAUGAAACUUGGAUGUAUGGACUACCAUGGGCUAGCAGUGAAUAUGUACAUAACCUCAAGAAGUUUCUUAAAGUUGUUGAGGAUCGUCGGGUGCAUAGAGGAGAAUGUUACAUUUGGUGUCCUUGUAAAAUGUACCAAAAUUGUAAAAAGGUCUAUGAUUUGGAUGUAAUAGAAGAAUAUAUGAUAUUUGAAGGAUUUAUGAAUCGAUAUACGUGUUGAUCACAACAUGGCGAGUUAUUGAUUGAUCACAACACAAUUGAUGUCGAAUCUAAUUAUGAUGAUACAGAUGAUUCAGAGGAUGACAUCCAUGAUAACCUACCUCCAUUUUCUAUCGGUAUUCCAUCUAUGAAUGUUGAUAUUAAUGACGCUGCUUACUUAAGAUCGGACCAUAACGAAGGAUCAUAUGUUGAAGAAAGCAACACAGACGACACGACACUGGAGGACAAUAACAAUGAUAAUUGCAGUUGAGGUUCUUCAUGGGGAGAUUUACUAUGAUUGCAUUAUGAAAAACUUGUGUAGUAUCAACAUGAUGCGAGGAUAAAAACUAUGUUGAGUUUUUGAUGUUUAUGUCACAUGUAAUAUGUUCUAUAUUAUACAAAGUCAUUUUUUAGUGAUGAACAUUAAUCUUUGUUCAUCACUAAAUGCUCAA